rnacentral:rRNA from 1 species
GUCUAUGGCCAUACCACCCUGAACGCGCCCGAUCUCGUCUUAUCUCGGAAGCUAAGCGGGGUUGGGCCUGGUUAGUACUUGGAUGGGAGACCGCCUGGGAAUACUGGGUGCUGUAGGCU